CAUAGAGAAACAAGAGGCAGAGGGAGAGAGAGAAGACACUGGUGGUCAACUGGUAUCUUGUGUGAAGUGACCCACACACAGGGAAGAGCCCUGCAGCCCUCAUGGUCAGACUCCUGCAAAAAUCAACAGUGGAGUGGAGGUGAGGGUGGAUGGAGGAGCUCCGCUGCUGCCUUGUUGCCUGGAUCUCCUGGCUGUUGGCAAAGUAUCACACCACCUUAAAGCUGGGCGCUAGAGGUGUAGUGCCAGACACACAGGUGAAACGUGCAGCAAAGAGCAGUUGGGAUCUUGCUGAGAAGAAGCAGGUGGACAGACGGAUGGUUGGAUGCGGCUGCUGUGGGUGUUUCUCUGGCAGUGUCUUAGCUGGUUGUUGUGAGGAGUGAGAACGAAGCAAUCAGCAAGUAUACUGCCGCAGAAAUUCUUCGCAAUAAGAAGCCCUGGGAUCACAGCCCUCAUGGGGCAAAACAAGACGGAGGAGAAAACAUUUGCUUUGCAGCGAACGGCAAAGAAGAUGCAGCGGCUUCUGUAAGUUUAAACCUGAUACAGAAUUAACUGAAGACAGAUGGUCUGAAAGCAAGGCCUUUUUCUUCACAGCCUUGACAACAUUUGCAAAAGGAUCAAAGAAUCAAACUUCUACAGCGUUUAUUGCACUUUCACGAUCCUCUGCUGCCAUCUUGUGACUGAAAGCAACCUCCAAGCAUGCUUUUGAUCAUCCUUCACUGCACCAAUUAGCAAAAUCUACAUUGAAUAAUUUAGUUUUCUUUGAGACAAUGUUAAAUCUCUUUUAUCUGAAAAAUAUAGCUUGAUUUAAUAUGCCUAGAGUUUUUUUUAUUUUUAAGUUUCAAAUGCAUGUUUUCUUGUCACUAAAUCUGAUAUUUUGCAUCAAAAAUAAUAUUUCAUUUUCCUGAAUGCUAACAAAUUAAAGUUAAUAGUCUUAAUGUACCCACUGCUACCUAAUAAAUAUAACAUUACGACUGAUUCAUCA